rnacentral:rRNA from 1 species
UACGUAGGGUGCGAGCGUUGUCCGGAAUUACUGGGCGUAAAGAGCUCGUAGGUGGUUUGUCGCGUUGUUCGUGAAAACUCACAACUCAAUUGUGGGCGUGCGGGCGAUACGGGGCAGACUGGAGUACUGCAGGGGAGACUGGAAUUCCUGGUGUAGCGGUGGAAUGCGCAGAUAUCAGGAGGAACACCAAUGGCGAAGGCAGCUCGCUGGGACGGUACUGACGCUGAGGCGCGAAAGCGUGGGGAGCGAACAGG